rnacentral:tRNA from 1 species
UCUAAUAUGGCAGAUAAGUGCAAUGGAUUUAAGCUCCAUAUAUAAAAAUUAAAUUUUUUGUUAGAA